rnacentral:rRNA from 1 species
UGGUGGAGUGAUCUGUCUGGUUAAUUCCGUUAACGAACGAGAUCUUAUCCUACUAAAUAGACAAUUGUACAAUUUUCUUCUACACUUGAUCGUUUAGAUCGAGGAAGUUUGAGGUAAUAACA